rnacentral:rRNA from 1 species
AGUCGAGCGAACAGACGAGGAGCUUGCUCCUCUGACGUUAGCGGCGGACGGGUGAGUAACACGUGGAUAACCUACCUAUAAGACUGGGAUAACUUCGGGAAACCGGAGCUAAUACCGGAUAAUAUAUUGAACCGCAUGGUUCAAUAGUGAAAGACGGUUUUGCUGUCACUUAUAGAUGGAUCCGCGCCGCAUUAGCUAGUUGGUAAGGUAACGGCUUACCAAGGCAACGAUGCGUAGCCGACCUGAGAGGGUGAUCGGCCACACUGGAACUGAGACACGGUCCAGACUCCUACGGGAGGCAGCAGUAGGGAAUCUUCCGCAAUGGGCGAAAGCCUGACGGAGCAACGCCGCGUGAGUGAUGAAGGUCUUCGGAUCGUAAAACUCUGUUAUUAGGGGAGAACAAAUGUGUAAGUAACUAUGCACGUCUUGACGGUACCUAAUCAGAAAGCCACGGCUAACUACGUGCCAGCAGCCGCGGUAAUACGUAGGUGGCAAGCGUUAUCCGGAAUUAUUGGGCGUAAAGCGCGCGUAGGCGGUUUUUUAAGUCUGAUGUGAAGGCCCACGGCUCA